UAAAUUUAUUUACAUUCGUUGUCAUCUCAAGCUAAGUCCCGUGAUCCUUUAUCAACUAUUAUUCCAACUAGAUGCUAUCAAAUUACAGAAGUCAAAGUUCUCUAAUCUCUUUCUCUCCAGUAGAAAGUCUAUCUUUCUUUCUGAAUAUAAGUACUAAAUUCUUUUGUCAUCGGGAUUACAAUCCUCGAAUCAUUUAUCUAUUUGUUUAACAUAAGACAUUCAAUAACUUCCUACCUUUGAUCUCUUUUUAGAUUUAAAUUUACUAUUCAUGAACCACUAAAUUCUCGAAACUCACCUCGCAAAGACCCGAUUAACUCAACUCAAAAGUUUGGUUAUAACAUUAUCAAUUAUUUAUUUAAUAUCCUAUUAGAAUUAUCAUCAACAGUGAUAAUUAUUUUAAACCUCAAAGCCAUUUUUCCUACCUUCAAUAGUAUACAUGUUCCAUCAUUCUAUCUUUAAUAAUAUUUCGCUCCUUUUUUGUUUAACUACAUAGUCUUAACUACUUAUUCUAACGCAUCUUUUAACUUUCUAAAUUUUCAUAAAUCUUAAAUUUAUUUACAGCAUAAAAUUACUAUUCAUGAUCAUUUUAAUUCUUAAUAUCC
rnacentral:lncRNA from 1 species